AAGUUCCGUCUACAACGGAUAAGACUUCGGUAUUGGUGUAUACUGAGUUAUUGAACAUAAAGGAGCAAUAAUAAAUUUCUUGUUCUACCAAGAAGUUUGGUAUUGCUCCUUUUUUAUUUAGGAUUUUUUUUGACUUAAAUAAGUCUGUUUCUUUACUUCAUCGUUACUUCAUCUUUACUUCAACAUACCCUUCGUUAUGUAGAAAUUUUUAUUUUCGAUAUCCUCUUCUCAAUUUUUUUUCUUAUAGUUUUUCUUAUAAGAAUUAAAAUAAAAAAUUUAAAUAUAAAUGGUGUAAAUUGACCUAUUUGUUUGUAAUUUGUAAUGUAAUAGGGGCGGAUGUAGCCAAGUGGAU
rnacentral:misc_RNA from 1 species